rnacentral:rRNA from 1 species
CAGCCGCCGCGGUAAUACGGAGGGAGCUAGCGUUGUUCGGAAUUACUGGGCGUAAAGCGCACGUAGGCGGCUUUGUAAGUUAGAGGUGAAAGCCUGGAGCUCAACUCCAGAACUGCCUUUAAGACUGCAUCGCUUGAAUCCAGGAGAGGUGAGUGGAAUUCCGAGUGUAGAGGUGAAAUUCGUAGAUAUUCGGAAGAACACCAGUGGCGAAGGCGGCUCACUGGACUGGUAUUGACGCUGAGGUGCGAAAGCGUGGGGAGCAAACAGGAUUAGAUACCCCAGUAGUCCCUGUCUCUUAUAC